GUAUUGAUGAAGAGUCCCAAAAUGGGACGAAACAACUGGCAGUCCAGUAC
rnacentral:hammerhead_ribozyme from 1 species